AGCUUUUUGCAGUGGCAGUAUUGUAGCCAGUAAGGUUUAUCCGAGGUGAGAUCAUUACUAAUUGAAAACUUUUCCCAAUACCCUGCCAUAAUGACUUGAAAUGUAGUGGGUAGGGAUUGGCAAUUUUUGACAGUCUCUGUGUCUGAAUUUAUCACGGUUGAAAGAGU
rnacentral:snRNA from 1 species